AGGAUUCCCCUAGUAACGGCGAGUGAAGAGGGAGAAGCCCAGCACCGAAGCCUGCGGCAGGUUUGCUGUUAGGCAAUGUGGUGUUUGGGUCGGCUCGUNAGACCACCACUCCACUCGAAGUCCAGCAUUGACUAUGGUUAGUGGAUUUGGCCCAGAGAGGGUGAAAGGCCCGUACGGGUGGAGUGUCAGACAUGUGAGUUGUGGUUCACCAGGUCGACCUUAGAGUCGGGUUGUUUGGGAAUGCAGCCCAAAGCGGGUGGUAGACUCCAUCCAAGGCUAAAUACUAGCACGAGUCCGAUAGCGAACAAGUACCGUGAGGGAAAGUUGAAAAGUACUCUGAAGAGAGAGUAAACAGUACGUGAAACCGCAUGCAGGUAAACGGGUGGCGUCAAGCUGCAAGCCCGGAGAAUUCAGCCGGCUAGGAUGUUGCGUAUGCGCGCCUGGCGCAUCUAUCAGUCGGAGUAGGUGUGAUUGGGUAGUCCACUAGUAGAUAGUGGGCCUGUCCGCAAGGUCAGGAUGUGUGUACCGGGUGGGUGCCGGAGCAUGCUACCCUUCUGGGGACUGUCUAGCCGGUGCACUUUCUCUGUGGUCAACACCACGACCGGUGGCAUUGCCAGUCUGCUAUGUCCAAGUCGCACCUGAUAGGUUGUUCUUGUGGCAGCCAAUCGGGUGCGGUCACACGCAAACUCAGUGAACGGCGUGAAGGUGUCUCGGCACUUUUACGUGCUAUCGGCUGCUGGUUGUGAAGGAGCCUGCCCUGGGUGGUUGUUGUAACGGGCGCCUGGGUGGCUCGGUGGGACAUGGUGGUAAGAAUAACUGUGCAAGGCACCGGGAUCGUCGGCCUCAACCAAUUGCGUCCUGCGUCCACGUUACAAGUGGUACAUUAAUAGCGGCGGUGUCGUNACUGCCUGCCCGGUGCUGGGUGUGAUGGGCRUGUUGCCUGCGCAAAGUAGGCCCGCCGAUGGCUCGGCUCGGGAUGGGUGGUUGGUGACGUUGUCGGCGCGUGGGAUGUUGUGGCCCAAUAGUCAGUGG
rnacentral:rRNA from 1 species